GAAUCGGCAUUCGCACGAUCGCGGCCAUGUUUGUUUUUUCGCUGUCAUGUUUCGUAUACGAUUGUCGAGCUUAUUUUUGUGAGUUUUUGAUUUAAUUAUUAAAUUUCAAAAUAUUAAUAGGUAUAAAUAUAAAUAUAACCAUUCCUACGAAGGCCGGAUCAGCGAUUGUUUUCUUCUAUCGGAUGCUUGAGUUGUGGAAUCCGGACCACACAAGUAAUAUACCAAGGAUACUGACUAGAAACCAUAAGCGAUUAUCACCAAUGUACUCAAUCCAUCGCAUCGAUUAGCCCUGCUAAAACUUUCAUCCGUCGUCAUGCCGCGGCCGGCAUGCCGGUGCGCUCCGAACAUUCUGAUGCAUACCCGAUAUUCGUGCUAACUAACCACGACUAUAUAUAGUGGAUUCCAAAAUAUAAUUUUUGAAGUUCCGUCGGCUAACGAGAACCCGUUGGUAGUAUUCACCUUCUGGUAGUUUAUUUGAGGCAUCCGGAGGAGGAAUCGGCUUCAGUGAAUUGCUUCUAGAAAAUGCUAGGAUAUAAGGCAAGAUGUUCAAGAAUUAUGCUGAAUCAUGGAAAUCGGUUAUUUACUUCUGCUGUUAUACGUUCCCCUACAUGUGGCUAUCCUGGAACUCCGAGGAACGAGACUCGGAACGGGAGUGAUCUACAUUUUUGGAAAUUAUUUAUUUCAGUUGCGUUUAAAAUUAUGUAAUGAAUUAUUGGCAGUGGCUGAUUUUCUACUCGUCGCAGCCACAUCCAGGCACUAUAGUAUAUGUACAAAAU